CGCUAAGCUUCCAUCCGGCCGAGGUCCCGCCUUUCUUACGCCGCGACGUCCCGACGCCACCGGGCAGGCACGCAAGGCCGGUUAAGCCCCGCCUUUUUCUUCCAACGGAACGGGUUAACCAAGUAUAAGCAAUUAAUUUAGAACAUUUUAUCAGGACUGCAAGUCUCUUACCAAGCUCUACAAAUAGACUCCAGAAAUGCAAGAUACACCUAACAUUCUGGAGGAGUCAUUAUUGGAGUCCAUUGUAAAGGAGUCACCAAUGAUAGCAAGUUUUCUUACUACAGGGUCUGGUGGUGAUGAAAGUAAUAUGGAAAAAUGUCAGGGAAGAACUAUGCCUUAUGUAGAGAAGAUGAUGACGACCUCUUUGGAAGCGGAAUUAAAAGAAAAAAUGAAGAGACUGAUAUUUAAAAAAUAUAUAUUGGCAAAAGAGGUAGGGGUAUUUGUUACGUAUGAUGGUAAGUGGUCUGGGUCCAUACAAGUAGCCCUCGACUUACAACUAAGUGCGCUUAGUGACCAUUUAAAGUUAUGUCACUGAAAAAAGUGACUUAUGACCAUUUUUCACACUUAUAACCAUUGCAGCACCCUCAAGAUCACAUGACCAAAAUUUGGAUGCUUGG